UCAACCUUCUGACUUUGCCGAUUGGCACCACGACGAGUUUUCUUCCAAAAGGAAUUUGCCUAGGAGGCCUGCAUGAGAGUAUCAAAAAACUCGAUGGAGCUUACCUGCAACCUAACCAGAGCGCGGACUCGCCCCUGAAAUUGAAUACACUAGCCUAUGCUAUUCUUCCUUUCUUUAAUUCUUCUUCAUCGAGGAGUCAUGGUCAUGUGCAGGGCUUAGUUACCUACAUGGUGCCUGAUGACUUGUCGAUUACACCCAUGUCCAUGGCAACAACCAUGGCUUUGUUUAAGAAGUACAACAUAGAAGAAGUUGAUGUUCUCGAGGAGAAGAUGGUUGCAAUUAGCCUUGAUGAGGUAAACAAUUAUCUGGCUUGUUGGGUUUUAAUUGAUUUCUUUUCUGGCUUAUUCUCUUGCAGAUUUGGUUGGGGUUUGGAGUUAAUUUUUUUCCCAUAACAUAAUUAAUUAGGAGAUAUUACUUGUAAAUCAAUUAUUAAAUUAUUAUACCUUGUUGGGUAAUUGAUUUUUGAAAUAGUUUUCUAUUCAACAAAAUAAAAAGAAAAAACAUAUUUUCAAUUAGGAAAUAAAAAACAUGAUGUUUUUAAAUUAAGUUUUUUAGUUAAUUAUUUCCAUUUAUUUUCUAAGAUUUAUUCUAAAAAUAAUAAUAUAAAUAUGGAAGAAUGAUUAAAAAUAAAAUAUUACAUGUAACACUAUUUUUAAAACAUAUCUAGAAACAUUAAAAAAAAAAAAAAGAAUUACAGAACGUUUUAGAUUCUUCAAUAGGCUUGUUCUGCAAAAUAUCAUAAAUAAUUUUAAAAAACCAUUCUCAAAAAGUUUUUUCCAUGAAUGUUUUAAAAAACAUAUCCUAAAUUUUUUUCUAAAGUUUUGAAAGGAAUUUUCUGCCAACCAUCUACCAUUAAACCGCCUAGCCAUCAAAUUUACCGUCAACCACUGACCCUUGAACUGCCUAGCCAUCAAAUCGACUGCCAACCAUCAACCAUUGAACCGCCUCGCCAUCAAACGGACUGCAAACCCCGCCUAAACCAGCAACCACAUUGGUGACCAUCCAAAUAAAGCCCAUGUUGGGCUCUAUGGUAAACCCAGGAGUUGUGGAGAUGUCAUUCCUUUGGAUGCGUAAUGUAUUAAAAGGCCUCCUCGUUUUUAUCACCACCAGAUGUGGGAUUGAUUAGUUUCAAGAAAAGUCAAUGAAAAAAAAAUCCCACCUCAAGUUGAGGAGAUAGCAUAGGCACCAUUCGGCUACACACAUUUAAAUGCUAAACCAUCAAAAGCAACCAAGCUGAUUCAAUUUUUAACAAUUGUGAAGUUUUGGUUAGGUUUUGUUAUUGUGGAAAUUGAUUUAGUUGAUUCAAUUUUCAAUUUUCUUGAUUCCUAAUCAAUAAAAAUUAAAUCAAAUUGAUAUUUCUUAUAAUUUAUAAUGGUUUCCCGUUGAAUGAAUUUUUUUUUUUUUAUCUGUUACUUUCAUUAUUAUGUAUAUUACAUGGACUCAAUUUAAUUAAUUCAUUAUUGAUAAAUUAUAGUCAAAACAAUCUUCAAAUACAUCAAUUAUAGAACAAAAAUAUAUAUAAAAACUUAAAAUGUUCUUAAUCCAUUUUUCAUAUUUUUAAAUAUAUUUUAAAAAUAUAUUUUAUCCUAAUACUUUAUUUUUAAGUAUUUUUCAUAUUUGUAUAAUUAUUCUUUAAAAUAAAAUUUAGAAAAUAAGCAAAAAUAAUAAAAAAGAUGUUCCUUAAAAACACAAUAUUUUUUAUUUUUUAGAAUAAAAAGAUAUUUUCUAUCUUUAAAAAUAAAAAAUUAAUUUCUAUUUGUAGAAUUAAUGAAGGGCUAAAUCCAUCAAUUUAUAUAUAAAAUGAUUUACAUAAUAAAAAUGCAUGAGACGUGAUUUGACCUAACCGUACGUCCAUGAAUAAGAAAAACUAUUUUAUCAUGCAUAACAUAGAAAAUAUCAUAAAGAAUAUAAACCCAUUACAAAAACAAUUAUUUACGGCCACGUGGUGGGUUGUGAAAUAUGAAAUUUCUGGAAAAGAGUAUGGGAUGAUUGGGCUUGGGAGGAUGGAGGGUGGAUAUGAACCGAGAGCCGCCCAGAAGGGGCCCACUAAGAAGAUAGGUGCACACUAAGUUACAUAGUAUUAGUUUGGUGGGCUAAUAAUGGAACAAAAGGGUGGGGCCCAUUUCCUUAAUGUUGGAAUCAUAAUAUACUGGCCCAACUUGACAGGGCGGUGUUUACUUUGAUGCAGAUUGCUGACAUGGCACUUUUUCCCCAGAUAUUUUUUAUUUUACCAAAAUUUCUUCAACUUCUACAUUUAGAUUUUUUUUUCCCUCUGUAUAAUUAUUUAAAUUAUAUAUUCGAUAAAAAUUUUUAAAAAAAAAUUAAAAAAUGUGCAGAAAAAUUUCAACUUUUUAGAAUGUUGGGGAAAAUAGUUUUGAAAAACAGUUUUUAAGAAUUGUUUUGUAAAAAAUUGCUUUGAAAAACAGUUGUAUGAUAAGAAUAUGAUUUGGGGAAUAAAGUUGAGAAGAAGAUUAGGAUGGAAAGAGGCACAGGUGGAAGAGGGAGGAAAACACAAACUGAAAGUAGAAUAUCUGGUUGGUUCCAGGACAAGGUGGUGAGCCCACAUCGAAUCCAAGGAUUAGCUUUGAAACUACUACUCACGGCAUCUUUGCAGACCAAGCAAGCUUCUGCCAUUGGUUUCCUUUGUAAAAUGGCCUAGCUUAUAUAUCUAUCGUCAAAAGUAUAAAUUUGCAUUAUUAGCCCCAAUGAACAUGAAUCUGGAGGCAUUUUUUUCAGAGAAAUGCAGCUCUUUGGAAAAAAAAACCUCAUGAAAUCUCAAAUCGCUUGCACUUAAUUGCAGACUAAGUCAGAACUGUAAGUUUUCUUUUUGGGAAAAUAUAACUCUUCCCAAUUCCAGAAGGCAUUCAUGCUGUGAACCAUAUAUGUUGAAUUUUGAUUGGUUUUGUGAUAGGGUUUUAAGCUGCUGAAGGAAGCAUCAUUGCAGUCCAACACGUUCUAACCAGCAUCGUCCAUAGAAGUAAUAAAGAAUAGUAUUAAAAAAAAAAGGGCUUUUGAGGAUAAGAGAAAACCAUUAAUUUAAGAGAAAGGAAUGGACCAAAGCGCCACUUUGCCCUAUGCUAAUUAUAUAAUGAAUUUAAAAGAAGAAGAGAGCCAUUAAUUUUCACUUGCACUUUUACGAAGUGCAUUAAAUCAUAGGGGUUACGUGCACUUAAUUCAUUUAGAUCAACCAUUAAACUUCCCCACACAGGCCUCCCAAGUAUAUAUGGGUUCAUGGAAACAUGCUCCAAGUAUAUAUCGUCUGUUUAUCUGAGCGGCUUUUAAAUAGUAGAAACAAUGGCAGAAACCACAAUGAAGUUGAAUCUUGUAAUAGACAAGAACAGUCAGAAAGUCCGAUCCUCUAUACUGAAGCAGAAAAUGACUUCGUAGAUUUCCUCUUCAAUCUUUUUACAUUACUCGUUGGGACUGUUAUUAUGCUUCUUACAGAGAAGGGCAUGAUGGGUUGCCUGAGAGAUUUGUAUCAGAGCGUUGAAAAUUUGAGUGAAACUUACAUGCAGCCAAAUCAGAACAAGCCUCUACUAAAACCCAUUUUCCUAAGGUCGAGUUACUGCACUUUACCAACCCCCAAAAAGUUUUAUAUCUGUUUAUGAUGAAAUUUUUAUUUAAAAGUUAUCUAUGUUCUAAUAUAAUGUUAUUAUUAAAACUUAGGUAGUCAAUUCUAAAUUAAUAAAUGUUUGAUUAAAUCUAAAAAUCUAAAUAUUUAUAAAAAUCUUUAAAUUAAACUAAACAUAACCUACAAAUAAAAAAGAUAUUUGAUAAAAUAUCAAAUAUUUAAAUUAAAUUAAAAUUUACCAACAAUUAAAAUAACAUAUGUUUGAAUAAUUAUGUACCUAGUCAUGAAGUAAAAAAUACUUGAUUAAACUUAAAAGUCUAAACAUUUAAAAAUCUCUUGAAAUUAAACAAAACAUAGCCCACAGUAAAAAAUAUAUAUUUAAUAAAAUAUCAAAUACAAAAUUAUAAAAACUUAUUUUUCUAGAUUUAUUUUAUGUAUAUUAGGAUUUAAAUAAAUUUAAUUUUAUUAACAUUAAAUAAAAUUUAAAAUAUAAACAAACAAAUAUUUUAUAAAAUCUAUUCAAUGUUCAUGGUUAUCUAAUUUUUUAUUAUAUCUAUUUUUCUUUCACACACAAAAUUAGUUUUUUAGAGGGUAAACUUGCAUUUUUAUUUUUAGUUUUUAACUUUCUAAAAUUCCUAAAUAAGCAAAAGAAUUUUUUAUUUUUAAAAUAUGAGCGGGGGCAUAUACCCCCAAGCCUAUGGUGGCUUUGCCCUUGGCUAAAGGAAGCUUGGAUGUGAGAUAUUCCUUGAGAACCAUUGUCUAUACCAUUGCUAAAAAAGAAUAGAACCCAAAAACUUUUUGGGAAAGGGGAAAAAAUCAAAAUUCAAAGCCAUACUCGCAAGAAGAGAAUCAAAACCAUUAAUUGAGAGGAAGGGAAAGAAUCAAAACCACUUUAUCUUUGCUUAUAUAAUGAAUUUAAAACAAAAAGAAAACAAAUAUACUUUUUAGGAUUGAGAAAGGAAAGAAUCCAAGUUCAAAACCAUACUUGCAAGGAGAGAACCAAAACCAUUAAUUGAAGAGAAAGGAAAGAACCAAAACCACUUUGUCUUUGCUUAUAUAAUGAUUUUAAAACAAGAAGAGCACCACAAAUUCCACUUCAAGAUCACUAGUCAUCUAUUUUAAUUUCAUCUCCUUUUUCUCUCUCUAUUUUAGUUUUCUGUAGAAGCUCACUUUUAGGUACUUAAAAGUUAGUGGACUACUUUUUUGGUGGAAAUGGCUUUCAACUCAUGUAAGCUUACCAAACUUGGUUGAGUUGUAUGUUUGUUAAUUUUCUUGUUUUCUUGAUAAAUUAAUCCGUAUAGAUAUUAUCUGCUUCGAGUCUAAAGCAUUCUCAUGAUUUAAAAACACAUUUAUAAAAUUAAGAGGAGUUUAUACAUAAAUAGCGUCAAAUUUUUUUUCUCCUAUCUAUUAUGAGAUUUCAUGUAUAUAUAUAUUCAACUCACAUAAGCUUACCAAACAUGGGGUUGAGUUAUAUGUUUGUAAGUUUCCUUGUUUUCUUGAUAAAUUAAUCCAUAUAAAUAUUAUUCACUUUAGGCUUAAAGAGUUCUCACGAUUUAAAAACAUGUUUAUAAAAUUAAGAGGAGUUGAUAUAUAAAUGUAUAGCAUCAAAAUUUCUUUCUCCUUACCAAACUUGGCUGAGUUAUAUGUUUGUUAAUUUCCUUAUUUUCUUGAUAAAUUAAUCCAUGUAGAUAUUAUCUACUUCAAACUUAAAAAGUUCUCACAAUUUAAAAGCACGUUUAUAAAUUAAAGGGAGUUAAUACAUAAAUAAUGUCAAAAAAUUUUGUUAGUUUGUUUCCUCGUUAGUUAAUGCAUAAAUAAUAUCAUAUAUAGCGUUAACUCUGGUAAGCUUACCAAGCAUGGGGUUGAGUUAUAUGUAUGUUACUUUGUUAGUUUAUUUGUUUUCUUGAUAGAUUAAUCUAUAUAGAUAUUAUCCAUUUUAGGCUUAAAAAGUUUUCACGAUUUAAAAACAUGUUUAUAAAAUUAAGAGGAGUUCCUACAUAAAUAUAUAACAUCAAAUUCUUUUUUUCUCCUAUAUAUAUAUAUAUAUAUAUAUUUAUUUAUUUAUUUAUUCAACUUAGGUAAGCUUACCAAACUUAGCUGAGUUAUAUGUUUGUUAAUUUCCUUAUUUUUUUGAUAAAUUAAUCUGUAUAGAUAUUAUCUGUUUCAAGCCUAAAGAGUUUUCACGAUUUAAAAACAUGUUUAGAAAAUUAAGAGGAGUUAAUACAUAAAUAGCAUCAAAUUUUUUUCUUUUAUCUAAUGUGAGAUUUCAUAUAUAUAUAUAUAUAUAUAUAUACACAAUUGCAAUUGAGUUGUUACAUAACUAAUUUUGGUUUUAUGGUCUAAUUCAUGCAUGGCAACCAAAGCAACCCCUGAGAUGAACUUGAAGCUUCUAAUCAACACACAGGACAAUAAAGUUGUCUUCGCUGAAGCUGAAAAAGAUUUCAUAGAUUUACUGUUCAACCUCCUAACUUUGCCUAUUGGCACCAUUGUGGGUUUCCUCCCAAAAGAAGUUUGUCUAGGAGGCCUGCAUAAGAGUGUGAAAAAACUAGAGGGAGCUUACUUGCAGCCUAACCAGAGCUCAGACUCGCCCUUGAAGUUGAACACACCAGCAUAUGCUAUUCUUCCUCUCUUUAAUCCUUCUUCAUCAAGGAGUAAUGAUCCUUUCUUUCAUUGCUCUUCAUCAAGGAGUUAUGGUCAUGUGCAGGGCUUGGUUACCUACAUGGUGACUGAUGACUUGUCGAUUACACCCAUGUCCCUGACAGCAACCAUGGCUUUGUUUAAGAAGUGCAACAUAGAGGAAGUUAAUGUUCUUGAGGAGAAGGUGGUUAAAAUUGGUUUUGAUGAGG
rnacentral:lncRNA from 1 species